rnacentral:lncRNA from 1 species
GGAGACGAACAACACACACAGCACUAGCACUAGAGAUGAAUAUAGAGGCAGAUCAGCAGCGAUGCAUAUGGGUAGGUAGUUUGUUGGCGUAGGAGGCAUCAGGAGUUGUCGGUUCACCACGAUGUUCUUAGGAUUCACAGUCAAUAUGUGGAACGGAUUGUUGCCGCCGGUGUGCAACUCGUUAUCGUGUGUACGUGCUGCAUGCUUAUGUCCAUGGAGCUCUGACUGUGUCCUCAAUAGCUCUGGAUGCUCACUGCAGAUGCAGCUAUCGAUGUUGUCGAUUAACUAUCUAUAUCUUUUCCGCACAAUCGGACGUACGGGGCAUGAAAUUAUACAUGUUUGUUCGAUUCAGAGGUUUAAGUUGGUAGAAAUUUUUCUAUAUUUCUCUCUACAACUGAUAGGAAAAAAUGUUCUGGUUUUUCAAUACUUCAUUUAUUCAAAACUAAUGUUUUUCAUAGGAAUUAAUUCCUAGGAAUCC